rnacentral:misc_RNA from 1 species
GAUGAAGAACGUAGCGAAAUGCGAUACGUAAUGUGAAUUGCAGAAUUCAGUGAAUCAUCGAGUCUUUGAACGCACAUUGCGCCCCCUGGUAUUCCGGGGGGCAUGCCUGUCCGAGCGUCAUUGCUGCCCUCAAGCACGGCUUGUGUGUUGGGCCUCCGUCCUCCUCCCGGGGGACGGGCCCGAAAGGCAGCGGCGGCACCGCGUCCGGUCCUCGAGCGUAUGGGGCUUGGUCACCCGCUCUUGUAGGCCCGGCCGGCGCUUGCCGACACAUCAAUCUUUUUUCCAGGUUGACCUCGGAUCAGGUAGGGAUACCCGCUGAACUUAAGCAUAUCAAUAAGCGGAGGA